rnacentral:rRNA from 1 species
UUCUGACCGUAAACGAUGCCAACUAGCGAUCCGCCGGCGGCUUCUCGGCCCUGGUGGGGAGCUUCCCGGAAACGAAAGUCUUCCGGUUCCGGGGGAAGUAUGGUUGCAAAGCUGAAACUUAAAGGAAUUGACGGAAGGGCACCACCAGGAGUGGAGCCUGCGGCUUAAUUUGACUCAACACGGGAAAACUCACCCGGCCCGGACACCGUGAGGAUUGACAGAUUGAUAGCUUUUUCAUGAUUCGGUGGUUGGUGGUGCAUGGCCGUUCUUAGUUCGUGGAUCGAUUUGUCUGGUUUAUUCCGAUAACGAGCGAGACUCCAGCCUACUAACUAGUGCGGGCAUUGCCUCUGUGCUUGUCACUUCUUAGAGGGAUUGGCUGCGUCUAGCGGCACGAAACGGAGCAAUAACAGGUCUGUGAUGCCCUUAGAUGUCCGGGGCUGCACGCGCGCUACACUGGCAAAGGCAGCGUGCUUGUCCGCCUCCGAAAGGAGCCGGUAAACCCUUGAAAAUUUGCCGUGAUUGGGAUCGGAAAUUGCAAUUAUUUUCCGUGAACGAGGAAUUCCUAGUAAGUGCGAGUCAUCAGCUCGCGUUGAUUACGUCCCUGCCCUUUGUACACACCGCCCGUCGCUGCCUAGAACUGAGCCAUUUCGAGAAUAUUCGGGAUCGCUGGUUGUGCGCCUUUCGGGGCACGCCUCUGGCAAGAGAACGAACGUAAUCGCAGUGGCUUGAACCGGGCAAAAGU